UCCCUGGUGGUCCAGUGGUUAGGAUACUGCAUUUCCCCUGCAGGGGGCAUGGGUUUGAUUCCCAGCUAGGGAA